UUCAGAUCCGACGAACACCUUGUGCCUGGUGAAGAAAUUGGCAUUUAGACAGACAACAUCGACUUAACUUUAAAAAUGAUUAAAACAAUACUCUUAAUGAUCUAGCUCAGCAAAAACUCCCAUAAAUAUACAUAACAUAAAAAGAGCAAAGUGAGUGAAGAUAACUAAGUGGCUGGUAGGUGGUACGUAAAAAAUCGAAACGGAAAAACACUAAUUGAAGCCCAAUAACUCUAUAAUAAACAACAAAUGUAACAAACAGAAAUAAUUUUAUUUAAUUAAGAAAAGGUAUUUUUUUUACGAGUUGUUAAUGAAAAUUUAAGACUUUUAGGUGUUUUAUUAGAGAAGCUUAAACACAAACGGGGGGUUACUCGUGAUCUUCUUCGUUAAUACCGGGGCAAUUUUCAAUCAAAUCUUCCUGGCUAUCGUAAUGGCAGCCGCAAUAAAGGCAAUAAAGGAAGCGAUCCCUAAGAAGAUGCAAAACAACAUCCAACUGCUUCGAUUCCUACAAUGGUUAGAUAAAAUUCAAUAGUGAAACAAAAAUGCGAAAUUUCUCCAACCUAAUUGUAGAGCUUAAGUUGUGGAUGAACGAAUAAUACUAAUAGGCCGGUCACCAAAUAAAUUCUUGUGAUGCAAGGCUUGCGAUGGUUGAACAUCAGAUUUAAUGAUCCUUUGUUUCCUCGAUACUUACCUCUAAAGAUUCAAACUCUACGUAAAGAGCAUCAGAAUUGGCUUCUUCUUUGAUAGCACUUUCGAGAUCAAUUUCUUGGGAAGCUUUAGCAUUCGAUAGUGAAAUUCGGCUGAACAGCUUUUUUUGCUUCAUUUUUUCCAAAUCUGCCAACUUCUCUUCUAACAUGAUACCUUUAUAAAACGGAUGAGCACGUUGUAAUGUAAGUUCUAUUCCCUUUUUCUCGAGUUCCAUGAUUUCAAGCUUUCGCAACGUGGAUCUAGCAUUUAACAAUUGUUUAAAAACUUUUUUAUUUUUGUAAUCUUCAGAACUUUUUGAGAUAUAAUCUCUUAAAUUCUCCUGACGUUUCGUUUUUUCUAGCCUUUCUUCUCGAACAAUAUCUUCCCACCGUCGUUUCUAUCGGUAGCAUAUCCGAUUCCAUGUUUGCUUUCAUUUUUAUCUGGAUAUAGAGGUUCGUUUAUUUCUUUUGCUUCUCCCAGAGAUGUUCCACUCCUAAAUAUCCAAAGGUUAACGAAAAUGCUCUUCUGGAAAAAACCAAAACUAUAAUAGUAAUAGAUAAUAAGAAAGUUUUUUGUAUGGUA